GUCCUUUCAUACUGAAAGAUUUUAAAAUGCCAAUCUGUGUGUUUCUAGUUGCCGUAAAUAAAACAAGAAAAGGAAGAAUAUUUGAACCAAUAAAAUAACAAAAUUACUUACAUAUAUACAUAUACAUAUAUAUACUAUACUCCAAAUAGAAAAUAUAAACUUUCCCAUAAGUGGUACAUUUUUUAAAAUAACUAUGCACCAGGUCAUGAAGAAAAUCUCAAAUUACAAAGAAUGUGGGUCAUAUAGGCCAUUUUAUUUUACUACAAUAGAUUUUCACUGUAUUUGUCCUUAAAGUUAGAAGACAUUAAUAAACAGGAUUUUAUAUUAGUAUAUGUACAUGCAUGCUCUUGUGUAUGAAACAACACUGAGGAAAGGUAGAAAAAAACAUUUACUUAAAAUCAUUUGUUUUUCAAAUUAAAAAUGCUGUCUCACAUUUUGAUGGGGGACAUCUGGCCAACUCAAUUUCUAAGACAAAGACUUAUUUUCAAAAUGUAGUAUGUGAGCUGUAAAUUUGCAUACCAAAUGAACAUUUUUAUUCUUUCUUACUCAUUGUUUGAGAAUCUCUGAAGAGAACCGUGGUGACUAGUGAAAAAGAGAUUUUUGUUAAGCUUGAGGAAAUGAUAUGAGGUGUUCUGAUCAUUUCCCCUUGAUGUUGUAUGCCAUUCGUGUUUCUUUAAAUCACUUUUUGUAGUGCUAAGGACCACUAACAGCAAUUUUCAGACAAUCCCAAGUAGGUGAGAAGAAGGCAAGAGCACGUUCAGGAUCCCAGGGCAGCUUGGACUCAGGGAGGCUCAUAGGAACCAAAGUCUUCAACUGAUGUAGGGAAGACUGUUAGGGUUUGAAGCCCAAUGGCCAAGGAAGGAUUCUAGAGAAAUCUGUGGUGCACAAAGGUGCUUUUAUUAAACACAAGGACAGGAGCCAUGAGCAGACAGAGCUGCCCUGGGAGCAUGAGGAGUGGCCCAUUAUACACUUUCAAGUUGGGAGGGGGUUAAGGAGAGCAUAAGUCUCUAAGGAAUUUUGGAAGCAAGGUUUCCAGGACCUUGAGGAGGCUAGCUAUUUUAUUAGACAUUUAUUACUGUCUAAUAAAACCUUAGUGAUGAGACCCUUCAGAUGUAUAUCAGUGGGUCAUAUGCUUAGGGGAUGAUCACCAGUGCGUAUCUUGGGGAAUAGAGAUAAAGGAAGUUCCCAAAGGAAUUUUUACAUGUAAAAGUAGACCUACAGGUUCCCAGAAGGUCGGGCUAAGAUUGCCUUUUGCCCUUAGCGAAGUAUUAACAUUGAGGCAGCUGAGUUCUAGAGGAAGGUCACUCUGCCUGUUUCAAGGACUUGGCAGUGGGCUGUAAGUAGUGAGGAAAUUUAAUAAUUUUUCUUCUACCUUUGUUUCCCACAUCACAGUGACUUCUGGGCUUCCAGGAUAAGAGUUAGGCAAUUUAAAACAAAACUAAACCUUUGAUCCACAAUCUACAGGAAAAGAAAAAUCCCAAAGAAGUUUAAGAGAACUGACUUUGCACUUAAGCCAAUAAAAAAAUAAGAUUAAAAUAUAAGGUGAUGUGAGAGUCCAUAAAAUUUGAAGGCAGUCUGGGGGUACAUACACAAUAGAUGCCAUAAAGCUGAGUGAUUUGCUUGGUUCCCCUCCCCGCCCCCCCCCCCCCCCCCCGCAGUUUUGGAUUUGGGGUUGUGGUGGAUACAUAACCGUGUGUGCCUUCCAUCUGCCUUCUUUUUUCUGAGGGUAUCACCUGCCUCACAGACCAUGCUCCUGCCAUCAGAGCUGCUGCCAAUUUUCCUAAGGUGGCUGGAGGCCAAGGUGAAACCCUGAGCCCGUGUUUCUCACCCUGAGUGAGCCCUAACCAUGCUGAGUCUCCUUCUGCUCCCAGCAUGGAUGAAAUGUCACACUGUGGGGUCUGGAGUCUGGUGUUCCCAGCAGCCACUAAGAGUUUGGAUGAUACACCCCAGAAGUGCAGGACAGUCUAUUCCAUGUGAGCUAAAUCUUAACUAAAGGGAAACAGGAAAUAGUAGGGACCAGGCAAGCAACUUCCCUCUUUUUUCUUCCCUGUGGAUUGCUUUAAGAUUUUAUUUCUUCCCAAAACUCUUCUGGAGAAGUUCCAGGUGCUAAGCCAACAUCCUCGCCAAGAGCUGGCUAAGUCUCUUCAUAGCUCACUGUGAAGUGUUGGCCAGCAUGGUAACACAUCACUUCACUUUGCUUCCCAUUUUUUCUCACCUCUUUCCCCCUAUUUUCUCACUUUUACCAUUCUGUGCUUGCACUUCCCAAAUAAAGUCUCAGCACUUGUUUCAGGCUGUAUUUUGUAGGAAAGUUUUUUUUUUUUUUUUAAAGAGCUGUAACAACAGUACUCCCUUUACAGGAAUGUUGGGUAUUUUCCUCUUGUCCCCAGGAGUCACUCUUCAUGUUUUUUUCCACCCUGCCCCCCACUGUGGGAGGCUGUGGAUCGGUAUCAACAAGGUGUCCAUGCCCUCGGGCUACCACUUAAGUCUGGCAAGGGGGUUGCCCUGGGAGGAGAUUAGAGGGAUAAAGUAUUUAUUCUCCUGGCACCACUAAGGCGUCACCUGGGGCUGUCACAAGAAAGUCACAGCUGGUGGACUCCUCCAUCUGACUUGCUUGAUUUCUGAGACUUGCUUCAUCCUCUCAUCUCUUUGGACCUAGGGAACCAGAACAGCUCCACACUGCUACCUUCAGGUUAUAGACUAUCUCUUGCAGCAGUUCUUCACCCUGCCCACUCCUUUGGAAUGUCUCUCUUUAUAAAUAAACUAUUCCAAUUUGAAUUUUUCUAAUUUUGACAUUGCUAUCUGUUUCCUGCUGGGACCAGUAGUGAAAAGGAAUGGUUAAAUUAUACCAUGGUUAUCUGUGUUGGAAGAGUGCAUAGCCA
rnacentral:lncRNA from 1 species